UACGAAGGGGGCUAGCGUUGUUCGGAAUUACUGGGCGUAAAGCGCACGUAGGCGGACAUUUAAGUCAGGGGUGAAAUCCCGGGGCUCAACCCCGGAACUGCCUUUGAUACUGGGCGUCUUGAGUGUGGUAGAGGUGAGUGGAAUUGCGAGUGUAGAGGUGAAAUUCGUAGAUAUUCGCAGGAACACCAGUGGCGAAGGCGGCUCACUGGACCACAACUGACGCUGAGGUGCGAAAGCGUGGGGAGCAAACAGG
rnacentral:rRNA from 1 species